CUGAGCUUUUUGAAGAUCCAUGUUAUGUUUCUGAUCCAAUAUCAUUACUUGGGCCUGUAUCAGAAUCACUUGAUAAUUUUCAGUUGGAUGUGGGGACUGGUUUUGCAUCAGACAUAGGAUUGGAAAGGCCUCAUGCAUUGAAGAAUACAUCUGCAUCUCCUGAAGCGAACAAGCCAUCUCCAAUUGAGUCUCCAUUGUCACGACUGCGAAUUGCUGAUGAAAAGCAUAAUGGUUCUAACUGGUUUUCAAAUACUCCUAAGGCUCAAGAUUCACACACUCUGCCUGUGGAUGAUGUGCAUGUGAAUGAGAAGGGAACAUGGCAAAUGUGGAACAGUUC
rnacentral:misc_RNA from 1 species